AUUGAACGCUAGCGGCAGGCCUAACACAUGCAAGUCGAGCGAGCGGCGGACGGGUGAGUAAUGUAUGGGGACUGCCCGAUAGAGGGGGAUAACUACUGGAACCGGUAGCUAAUACCGCAUACUAUCGGAUAACCCAGAUGGGCUUAGCUAGUAGGUGAGGUAAUGGCUCACCUAGGGGCCGAUCCCUAGCUUGUCUGAGAGGCUGAACAGCCACACUGGGACGGAGACACGGCCCAGACUCCUACGGAGGCAGCAGUGGGGAAUAUUGAAGAAUGGGCGCAAGCCUGAUGCAGCCAUGCAGCGUGUAUGAAGAAGGCCCUAGGGUUGUAAAGUACUUUCAGUCGGGAGGCGUUACCGACAGAAGAAGCAUCGGCUAACUCCGUGCCAGCAGCCGCGGUAAUA
rnacentral:rRNA from 1 species